rnacentral:sRNA from 1 species
GGGUAAAAGCUCGUUUGAUUC